UGCCUCACACAUGUUCACCAAUUUCAGGAUGCUGUCAAGUAUGAGAAUGGGCGUGAACUGUGUGGCUCAAGCAUUAUAGUGGAGUGGGCUAAAGGCAACCCAAGGCGACCUUUGGGAUAUGAUGAGUGCUACCGCUGCCACCGUCCAGGACACUGGGCCCGAGAUUGUCCUGAUGACCGGUCCUUCGGACCACGGAGGUCAAGUAGAAGCAGUCGAUACAGGUCACCAUCACCAAGGAGGAGAAGGGGGAGCUACCGAUCCAGAUCUAGAUCCCGAUCUCGAAGAAGUCGA